rnacentral:ncRNA from 2 species
AUGAAGUAAGUAGGAGAGACUUUGAAAUUUUCAAAGCGCCGAAGGGGUAAGUUAACAAAGUCCUUGUUAAUGAUCUUUCAGGCAAAGGGACUACUUAUGGACA